UUAAAAGAAUUGCUGGGAAUUACCGUAAUCACAACAGAUUUUAAAGCAAUGGCAGAGUCUGCAGCGUACAUGGUUCUAAAAAAUAAAAAAAUAUCUUUACGAAGUGUAAAGAGGCAAACGCGGGGAACUGAAACAUCUUAGUACCCGCAGGAAGAGAAAAUAAACUAAUGAUUCCCCCAGUAGUGGCGAG
rnacentral:rRNA from 1 species